rnacentral:rRNA from 1 species
GACGAACGCUGGCGGCGUGCUUAACACAUGCAAGUCGAACGGAAAGGCCCUGCUUGCAGGGUACUCGAGUGGCGAACGGGUGAGUAACACGUGGGUGAUCUGCCCUGCACUUCGGGAUAAGCCUGGGAAACUGGGUCUAAUACCGGAUAGGAGCCAUUUUUAGUGUGAUGGUUGGAAAGUUUUUUCGGUGUAGGAUGAGCUCGCGGCCUAUCAGCUUGUUGGUGGGGUAAUGGCCUACCAAGGCGGCGACGGGUAGCCGGCCUGAGAGGGUGGACGGCCACAUUGGGACUGAGAUACGGCCCAGACUCCUACGGGAGGCAGCAGUGGGGAAUAUUGCCCAAUGGGCGCCAGCCUGAUGCAGCGACGCCGCGUGGGGGAUGACGGCCUUCGGGUUGUAAACUCCUUUCGCUAGGGACGAAGCUUUUUGUGACGGUACCUAGAUAAGAAGCACCGGCUAACUACGUG